GUCGUGGCUCAGUGGUAGAGUGCUUGCCUAGCACGUGUGAGGCACUGGGUUCAAUUCUCAGCACCACA
rnacentral:tRNA from 1 species